GAUCSGGCUMGGYCCGAWCCUGCSSASGGACMWUYSUKUACUCWACCUCUGUWRSKKUGGYGGGCCGCGGUCCUCCGCGGCCGCCCCCCYCCUCCCGGGGGGGUGGCCAGCGCCCGCCAGAGGACCAUCAAACUCCAGUCAGUAAACGAUGCAGUCUGAAAAACAUUUAAUAAACUAAAACUUUCAACAACGGAUCUCUUGGUUCUGGCAUCGAUGAAGAACGCAGCGAAAUGCGAUAAGUAAUGUGAAUUGCAGAAUUCAGUGAAUCAUCGAAUCUUUGAACGCACAUUGCGCCCUUUGGUAUUCCGAAGGGCAUGCCUGUUCGAGCGUCAUUACAACCCUCAAGCUCUGCUUGGUAUUGGGCACCGUCCUUUGCGGGCGCGCCUCAAAGACCUCGGCGGUGGCGUCUUGCCUCAAGCGUAGUAGAACAUACAUCUCGCUUCGGAGCGCAGGGCGUCGCCCGCCGGACGAACCUUCUGAACUUUUCUCAAGGUUGACCUCGGAUCAGGUAGGGAUACCCGCUGAACUUAAGCAUAUCAAUAAGCGGAGG
rnacentral:rRNA from 1 species